CGCGGGAGGCCUGUGGCGCGGGGGGCAGGGCGCGGCCGCCGCGGGGCCCAAGGCCUAGGGCGCCCCCCUUCCGCAGCACUCCCCAGGCCCGGCCCGCGCAGGCCGCGCCACUCGCCGCGCUCAGUCCGCCGCCGGAACCCCCGCCGUAGCUGCCUGCGGGCGUCCCCGAGGCCCCCAGUCCCCCAGGCCCCCACCCCCAGCGCCGGCCCCACUCACCCUUUCAUUCUCCGCCGGCGGCCUGGCGUGGGCCGGCGAAUCCCCGGCCUCACAUCAGAGAGGCGCUGCCAGUGGACUAGGAAGCUCGGCUGAUACUGCUCCCGCCCUGGGCUUCAGAGAGUCUUUCCCUGUCGAACAAGAGGGCCAAGAAGGCAGGGCUGCCCGCCUGCACUGGAAGAGACAGCAGCCUCCUACAGCACCACUACAGGCACUGCGAGGACAUAACACCAUAGAGCAGUUCCUCUGCCCUCCGAAACGACAACUUUCCUACCAUCUUGGAGGCAGAGAAAAGAGGGGCCAAGGGAAAAAGUGCACCGGCUCCGGAUAA
rnacentral:lncRNA from 1 species